CAGUCGCCGCGGUAAUACGUAGGGUGCAAGCGUUAAUCGGAAUUACUGGGCGUAAAGCGUGCGCAGGCGGUUAUAUAAGACAGAUGUGAAAUCCCCGGGCUCAACCUGGGAACUGCAUUUGUGACUGUAUAGCUAGAGUACGGCAGAGGGGGAUGGAAUUCCGCGUGUAGCAGUGAAAUGCGUAGAUAUGCGGAGGAACACCGAUGGCGAAGGCAAUCCCCUGGGCCUGUACUGACGCUCAUGCACGAAAGCGUGGGGAGCAAACAGGAUUAGAUACCCCGGUAGUCCCUGUCUCUUAUAA
rnacentral:rRNA from 1 species